CGAGGGGUACUUACACAAAGAACUGCUAAUUCUGCGCCCUGGGGGUAAACUCCCCAGACCCCUUA
rnacentral:tRNA from 1 species